GUCUCGCUGCCCAUCAAUAACAUUCAAGCCUCUCAGUCGAGCUUCAGGGCGCUCGGAGGGCACCCCGCCCUACCUGCCAUCUCUCUUCUGUGGGAUCUAUUCGUUCCAGUAAAAACUAAAUUGCUGAUUUUUCUAGAGACUGCCAAAGUCCUUCUCUACACCUAGGGUAUACUACUGACCGAGCAACUGAGUCUUAAGUUUAUGACAAGACCCAACUCAACAGCAUUUCUUACAUGACAAUAUACCACACCAGGCCUUGUCCACGGCUGCCACCUCGGAUCCCACUCCGCCCUGAGCCUGCCGUCCUCCCUGUGAGCCUGACACCGUAGUCCAGUCUUCCCCACCAUCCCCAGCAGGAUGCCUCAGGCAGAGUAGACAUGCGGUUUCCUGUCUGACUCAAGAAGAUAAAAUAUAUCCUCAUCACCAGCCCUAUGAAGACAGUGUCACAAUCAUUAUUCCUGACAUGUUCCUUCUUUUUAGACAAGAACGGCGUAAGGACAGC
rnacentral:lncRNA from 1 species